rnacentral:lncRNA from 1 species
AAGGAUCUAUGGUCAGGAGAAGGACCAAGGAAGCCUUUGGAGGUGUCUAAUUCAUCUCAAUUCUCAGAGAUGAGGAACAGCUUUUUCACUAGACAUAAAACAUCCUGUUGCAUCAGCAAACAGAAGGAGCUUUCAAUCUCAGAGAUAGCUUGAUUUUCAAACGUUGUUUAGGGCAAUUACUGAUCUCCCA